GCUUGCUAAGGCCGAUGGCGACCGGCGCACGGGUGAGUAACACGUAUCCAACCUGCCGUCUACUCUUGGACAGCCUUCUGAAAGGAAGAUUAAUACAAGAUGGCAUCAUGAGUCCGCAUGUUCACAUGAUUAAAGGUAUUCCGGUAGACGAUGGGGAUGCGUUCCAUUAGAUAGUAGGCGGGGUAACGGCCCACCUAGUCUUCGAUGGAUAGGGGUUCUGAGAGGAAGGUCCCCCACAUUGGAACCGAGACACGGUCCAAACUCCUACGGGAGGCAGCAGUGAGGAAUAUUGGUCAAUGGGCGCAGGCCUGAACCAGCCAAGUAGCGUGAAGGAUGACUGCCCUAUGGGUUGUAAACUUCUUUUAUAAAGGAAUAAAGUCGGGUAUGUAUACCCGUUUGCAUGUACUUUAUGAAUAAGGAUCGGCUAACUCCGUGCCAGCAGCCGCGGUAAUACGGAGGAUCCGAGCGUUAUCCGGAUUUAUUGGGUUUAAAGGGAGCGUAGAUGGAUGUUUAAGUCAGUUGUGAAAGUUUGCGGCUCAACCGUAAAAUUGCAGUUGAUACUGGAUAUCUUGAGUGCAGUUGAGGCAGGCGGAAUUCGUGGUGUAGCGGUGAAAUGCUUAGAUAUCACGAAGAACUCCGAUUGCGAAGGCAGCCUGCUAAGCUGCAACU
rnacentral:rRNA from 1 species